rnacentral:rRNA from 1 species
AUCGAACGCUGGCGGCAGGCCUAACACAUGCAAGUCGAGCGGAUGAAGCUAGCUUGCCCCUGGAAUCAGCGGCGCUCGGGUGAGUAAUGCCUAGGAAUCUCCCUGGUGGUGGGGGCUCACGUUCGGAAUCGGGCUCUAAUACCGCAUCUGUUCUGCGGUAGAACGUGGGGGUUCUUCCUACCUCGCGCUACCAGUUUCUCCUAGGUCGGAUUAGCUAGUUGGUGGGGUAAAGGCCUGCCAAGGCGAUGAUCCGUAACUGGUCUGAGAGGUUGAUCAGUCACACUGGAACUGAGACACGGUCCAGACUCAUACGGGAGGCAGAAGUGGGGAAUAUGGGAAAAUGGGCGAAAGCGUGAUCCAGACAUGCCGCGGGUGUGAAGAAGGUCUUCGGAUUGUAAAGCAAAAUAAGUUGGGAGGAAGGGCAGUAAGUUAAGACCGUGCUGUUGUGACGUUACCAACAGAAUAAGCACCGGCUAACUUCGUG